GAUGAACGCUCGCUACAGGCUUAACACAUGCAAGUCGAGGGGCAGCGGGGUUGAAGCUUGCUUCAAUUGCCGGCGACCGGCGCACGGGUGAGUAACGCGUAUCCAACCUUCCGUACACUCAGGGAUAGCCUUUCGAAAGAAAGAUUAAUACCUGAUGGUAUGAUGAGAUUGCAUGAUAUCAUCAUUAAAGAUUUAUCGGUGUACGAUGGGGAUGCGUUCCAUUAGGUAGUAGGCGGGGUAACGGCCCACCUAGCCAACGAUGGAUAGGGGUUCUGAGAGGAAGGUCCCCCACAUUGGAACUGAGACACGGUCCAAACUCCUACGGGAGGCAGCAGUGAGGAAUAUUGGUCAAUGGACGAGAGUCUGAACCAGCCAAGUAGCGUGAAGGAUGAAGGUCCUACGGAUUGUAAACUUCUUUUAUAAGGGAAUAAACCCUCCCACGUGUGGGAGCUUGUAUGUACCUUAUGAAUAAGCAUCGGCUAACUCCGUG
rnacentral:rRNA from 1 species